rnacentral:rRNA from 1 species
CAGCGCCGCGGUAAUACAGAGGAUGCAAGCGUUAUCCGGAAUGAUUGGGCGUAAAGCGUCUGUAGGUGGCUUUUCAAGUCCGCCGUCAAAUCCCAGGGCUCAACCCUGGACAGGCGGUGGAAACUACCAAGCUAGAGUGUGUCAGAGGAUGGUGGAAUUCCCGGUGUAGCGGUGAAAUGCGUAGAGAUCGGGAGGAACAUCAGUGGCGAAGGCGGCCAUCUGGGACAACACUGACGCUGAGGCACGAAAGCGUGGGGAGCAAACAGGAUUAGAUACCCCUGUAGUCCCUGUCUCUUAUACA